GAUCUUUAUUGCAUCUUUGUGGAUAUGAGUGGCUGCUAUUAAGUGGAAGUUUUUUACCUAGUUAUUUAUCCAAAUGAAGUGUUGGUUACAAGUUUAUGUAGGUGAUUGUUAAACAUCCAGAUUGACUCCAUUUUUGGGUUAUUGGGGCUUUAAUAACAGCCUUUGCGUCAUUAAACCUAGAAUUACAAGAUUCUACAUGCACUUGAGAUGUCUGUGCUCUGCUUGCCUCUAAACUGUACAUCACUGCUGGUCAUUAUGUUUCUUGAAUAAGUAGAGGCAACGUAUAUGAAAGGGGAAAAAGAAGAAGCUUGGAGAUGUGAAGGAUAGAAAUUGAAGACCAAGAGGG
rnacentral:misc_RNA from 1 species